UUGAACGCUGGCGGCAUGCCUUACACAUGCAAGUCGAACGGCAGCACGGGUGCUUGCACCUGGUGGCGAGUGGCGAACGGGUGAGUAAUACAUCGGAACAUGUCCUGUAGUGGGGGAUAGCCCGGCGAAAGCCGGAUUAAUACCGCAUACGAUCUACGGAUGAAAGCGGGGGACCUUCGGGCCUCGCGCUAUAGGGUUGGCCGAUGGCUGAUUAGCUAGUUGGUGGGGUAAAGGCCUACCAAGGCGACGAUCAGUAGCUGGUCUGAGAGGACGACCAGCCACACUGGGACUGAGACACGGCCCAGACUCCUACGGGAGGCAGCAGUGGUGAAUUUUGGACAAUGGGCGAAAGCCUGAUCCAGCAAUGCCGCGUGUGUGAAGAAGGCCUUCGGGUUGUAAAGCACUUUUGUCCGGAAAGAAAUCCUUGGCCCUAAUACGGUCGGGGGAUGACGGUACCGGAAGAAUAAGCACCGGCUAACUACGUG
rnacentral:rRNA from 1 species